rnacentral:rRNA from 1 species
GAUCAUGGCUCAGGACGAACGCUGGCGGCGUGCCUAACACAUGCAAGUCGAGCGGGGAAUAUUGAGCAGCUUGCUGCUUGGUAUUUCUAGCGGCGGACGGGUGAGUAACGCGUGAGCAACCUGCCUUUAUCAGGGGGAUAACGCAUCGAAAGAUGUGCUAAUACCGCGUAAGACCACAGCUUCACAUGGAGCAGAGGUCAAAGGAGCAAUCCGGAUAAAGAUGGG